rnacentral:rRNA from 1 species
AACGAACGCUGGCGGCGCGCUUAAUACAUGCAAGUCGAACGAGAAGGUGUAGCAAUACACUUGUACAGUGGCGAACGGGUGAGGAAUACAUGGGUAACCUACCCUCGAGUGGGGAACAACCAGCCGAAAGGUUGGCUAAUACCGCGUACGCUUCCGGGUCUUCGGAUUCGGAAGGAAAGUCAUACCGUGGGUAUGACGCUCAAGGAUGGGCUCAUGUCCUAUCAGCUUGUUGGUAGGGAACGGCCUACCAAGGCUCCGACGGGUAGCUGGUCUGAGAGGACGAUCAGCCACACUGGCACUGCGACACGGGCCAGACUCCUACGGGAGGCAGCAGUAAGGAAUAUUGCGCAAUGGGCGAAAGCCUGACGCAGCGACGCCGCGUGGGGGAUGAAGGUCUUCGGAUUGUAAACCCCUUUCGGGAGGGAAAAUGGAACGAGCAAUCGUUCGGAUGGUACCUCCAGAAGCAGCCACGGCU